rnacentral:misc_RNA from 1 species
UACGGAGGAUCCAAGCGUUAUCCGGAUUCAUUGGGUUUAAAGGGUCCGCAGGCGGAAUAUUAAGUCAGUGGUGAAAUCGUACGGCUCAACCGUGCAACUGCCAUUGAUACUGGUAUUCUUGAGUAUAGUUGAGGUGGGCGGAAUAUGUCAUGUAGCGGUGAAAUGCAUAGAUAUGACAUAGAACACCGAUUGCGAAGGCAGCUCACUAAACUAUUACUGACGCUCAGGGACGAAAGCUAGGGUCACGAAUCGG